rnacentral:misc_RNA from 1 species
CCAGAGAUGGCGGGCCCUGCGCCCCCGUCCCCAACCCUUUGUUGACCAAACCACUUUUGCCUCGGGGGCAGAGCGGCCUCCGCCGCCCCCGGUGGACCAUUUAACGCUGUCUCUGUACGUCGGAGUCUUUGAUAAAUAAAUGA